GCCAGGCCAUGUGGCUAGUGCCUGUGAUCCCAGCUCCCGGGGAGGCUGAGGCCAGCAGAUCGUUUGAGCUCAGGAGUUCUAGGCUGCAGCCAUGUGUGCUCAUCAGGUGUCUGCAUUAAGAUUGGCAUCAAUAUGGUGAUCCUGGGGGAGCUUGGGGUCCCCAGGUUGCCUAAGGAGGGGUGAGCCAGCCCUGGUCAGAAAUGGAGCAGGUCAAAACUCCCGUGCUGAUCAGUAGUGGGACCACACCUGUGAAUAGCCCCUGCAGCGUAGCCUGGGCAAGAUGGUGAGACACGGUCUCUU
ensembl:misc_RNA Metazoa_SRP Metazoan signal recognition particle RNA